rnacentral:rRNA from 1 species
GUGAACGCUGGCGGUAGGCCUAACACAUGCCAGUCGAACGGCAGCACAGUAAGAGCUUGCUCUUACGGGUGGCGAGUGGCGGACGGGUGAGGAAUACAUCGGAAUCUACUUUUUCGUGGGGGAUAACGAAGGGAAACUUACGCUAAUACCGCAUACGACCUACGGGUGAAAGCGGGGGAUCUUCGGACCUUGCGCGAUUAAAUGAGCCGAUGUCGGAUUAGCUAGUUGGCGGGGUAAAGGCCCACCAAGGCGACGAUCCGUAGCUGGUCUGAGAGGAUGAUCAGCCACACUGGAACUGAGACACGGUCCAGACUCCUACGGGAGGCAGCAGUGGGGAAUAUUGGACAAUGGGCGCAAGCCUGAUCCAGCCAUACCGCGUGGGUGAAGAAGGCCUUCGGGUUGUAAAGCCCUUUUGUUGGGAAAGAAAAGCAGCAGGUUAAUACCCCGCUGUUCUGACGGUACCCAAAGAAUAAGCACCGGCUAACUUCGUG